GAAUCUGAUUUGCCAGAAAUGGAGGAGAAAUUGGCAAGAAACGAUGAAUCGACAUCAGAGGGGGAAAUUAUCAACCCUUUGUGGUAUAGACAAACAGCUGCUGAAACAAGAAUGGCAAACACGCUUCCACGACACAGUAGAGAGUCGGAGCGAGUUGUUCUUGACGAAAUGCAAGGACAGAUGAAGGGCGUUUCAUUUCGAUAAAUUUUAUGGACGUACAAAAGAUAUAUCAGUAAUGAGAUGAGUGAAUAAAAUAUUUUUGUCGAAAAUGUCCAUUGUGCGCUUAUUUUCCAGGGAACUGU